rnacentral:rRNA from 1 species
GUUGUUCGGAAUUACUGGGCGUAAAGGGCUCGUAGGCGGCCAACUAAGUCAGACGUGAAAUCCCUCGGCUUAACCGGGGAACUGCGUCUGAUACUGGAUGGCUUGAGGUUGGGAGAGGGAUGCGGAAUUCCAGGUGUAGCGGUGAAAUGCGUAGAUAUCUGGAGGAACACCGGUGGCGAAGGCGGCAUCCUGGACCAAUUCUGACGCUGAGUGAGCGAAAGCUAGGGGAGCGAACGGG